GAUGAAGAACGUAGCGAAAUGCGAUAAGUAGUGUGAAUUGCAGAAUUCAGUGAAUCAUCGAAUCUUUGAACGCACAUUGCGCCCCUUGGUAUCCCGAGGGGCAUGCCUGUUCGAGCGUCAUUUCACCACUCAAGCCUGGCUUGGUGUUGGGCGACGUCCUCUUUGGGGACGCGCCUCGAAACGCUCAGCGGCGUGGCACCGGCUUUAAGCGUAGCAGAAUCUUUCGCUUUGGAAGUCGGGGCCCCGUCUGCCGGAAGACCUGCUCGCAAGGUUGACCUCGGAUCAGGCAGGGAUACCCGCUGAACUUAAGCAUAUCAAUAAGCGGAGGA
rnacentral:misc_RNA from 1 species